GUGGGGAAUAUUCCGCAAUGGACGAAAGUCUGACGGAGCAACGCCGCGUGAGUGAUGAAGGUUUUCGGACUGUAAAGCUCUGUUGUUUAGGACGAAAGUGCCUGUUGCAAAUAGUUACAGGUAUUGACGGUACUGAACGAGGAAGCCACGGCUAACUACGUGCCAGCAGCCGCGGUAAUACGUAGGUGGCAAGCGUUGUCCGGAAUUAUUGGGCGUAAAGAGCAUGUAGGCGGGAAUCUAAGUCUGUUGUGAAAAUGCGGGGCUCAACCCCGUAUUGCGAUGGAAACUGGGUUUCUUGAGUGCAGGAGAGGAAAGGGGAAUUCCCAGUGUAGCGGUGAAAUGCGUAGAUAUUGGGAGGAACACCAGUGGCGAAGGCGCCUUUCUGGACUGUGUCUGACGCUGAGAUGCGAAAGCCAGGGUAGCGAACGGGAUUAGAAACCCCGUAGUCC
rnacentral:rRNA from 1 species